GGACUACAAGGGUUUCUAAUCCUGUUCGCUCCCCACGCUUUCGUCCAUCAGCGUCAAUCCACUGGUAGUAACCUGCCUUCGCAAUUGGUAUUCCAUGUAAUAUCUAAGCAUUUCACCGCUACACUACAUAUUCUAGUUACUUCCCAGUAAUUCAAGUCUGGCAGUAUCAAUGGCCGUUCCUCCGUUGAGCGAAGGGCUUUCACCACUGACUUACCAAACCGCCUACGGACCCUUUAAACCCAAUGAUUCCGGAUAACGCUUGGAUCCUCCGUAUUACCGCGGCUGCUGGCAC
rnacentral:rRNA from 1 species